GCUGGCAUAUAUGAUGACUGAAUUUUUUCCCCGGCAGAUCGACCAUGUUGAUCGCUUUCCUUUGCCAGUUUCUUGUCUGAUGUGCCAGC